rnacentral:rRNA from 1 species
ACGGAGGGUGCAAGCGUUAUCCGGAUUCACUGGGUUUAAAGGGUGCGUAGGCGGGCUUAUAAGUCAGUGGUGAAAGCUCCGAGCUUAACUUGGAAACUGCCAUUGAUACUGUUAGUCUUGAAUGUCGUAGAGGUAAGCGGAAUGUUGCAUGUAGCGGUGAAAUGCUUAGAUAUGUGACAGAACACCAAUUGCGAAGGCAGCUUACUAUGCGAUGAUUGACGCUGAGGCACGAAAGCGUGGGGAGCAAACAG